rnacentral:RNase_P_RNA from 1 species
GGAGUUGGCCAGACAGUCGCCGCUGCGCCUUGUGCGUGGGGGAGGAAAGUCCGGGCUCCACAGGGCAGAGUGCCAGGUAACGCCUGGGCGGCGUGAGCCGACGGAAAGUGCAGCAGAGAGUAAACCGCCUAAGCCUUUCGGGGCCGGUAAGGGUGAAAGGGUGCGGUAAGAGCGCACCGCACGGCUGGUAACAGUGCGUGGCAAGGUAAACCCCACUCGGAGCAAGACCAAAUAGGGACCCAAUGGCGUGGCCCGCGCUGGGUCCGGGUAGGUUGCUUGAGCGCUGCGGUAACGUAGCGCCUAGAGGAAUGGCUGUCUUAGACAGAACCCGGCUUAUCGGCCGACUCCCCCU